AUUGAACGCUGGCGGCAGGCCUAACACAUGCAAGUCGAACGAGUGGCGGACGGGUGAGUAAUGUCUGGGAAACUGCCUGAUGGAGGGGGAUAACUACUGGAAACGGUAGCUAAUACCGCAUACCAUCAGAUGUGCCCAGAUGGGAUUAGCUAGUAGGUGGGGUAACGGCUCACCUAGGCGACGAUCCCUAGCUGGUCUGAGAGGAUGACCAGCAAAACUGGGACUGAGACGCGGUCCAGCCGCCUGCGGGGUGCAGCAUUGGGGAGUAUUGGACAAUGGUCGCAAGCCUGAAGCAGCCAUGCCGCGUGUAGGAAGAAGGCUUUCUGGUUGUAAAGGACUUUCAGCGGGGAGGCGUUACCCGCAUAAGAAGCACCGGCUAACUCCGUGCCAGCAGCCGCGGUAAUAC
rnacentral:rRNA from 1 species